GUGGAGUUUCCCUCAUGCUGUUCUCGUGAUAGUGAAUGAGUUCUUACGAGAUCUGAUGACUUUGUGUUUGACAGUUCUUUCGCAUGCUGCCUCUACUGCCACCUUGUGAAGGAGAUACCUGCUUCCCCUUCCACCAUGAUUGUAAGUUUCCUGAGCCGCUCCCCAGCCAUGUGGAACUGAGGUAGCUGUGCCACCAAGAGCCUUUGGGGACAAGCUGAGAGAACCAGAUCAUGAGCUGGGUGGUCCCUUACAGCGACAAAGUUUGUGAUUCUCAGGCCUCCAUGUGAUCAGCACACUCCGGCUUCGGAUCCAGGGAGACAUUUCUAGAUUCAUCAUUAUCUUAGUAUCUGCUCCACAUGUCAUCAAUUUGCAGAGGAAAAGUCUUGAAAGAAGAGGCUCUAAUUUGUUGUAUUUCUUGCAAAACUUCAUAGUUUAUAAAGUGCUGUGGAAAUUUUAUAUUCAAUCUAAACAGUAUCUCUUAGAAUCUAUAGUAAAAUGGUACAAUCACUAUUUUACUAAUAAAACACUAUGUUGUAAAGUGUUAAAUGGUCCCCUAAGGGCAAGGACAAGCUCUGGCUUUUCCAGUUAGGUAAGUUUUCAAGAUGAUCAAUCUCAGCUUUUGUCAGUUUUAAUGUGCCCUCACUAAUUACCAAGGGAACCAUGUGAGCCUGCAGAAUCAGAGACUGGUUCUUUUUGGCUUUGUGAGUCAACACUAUGAACUCAGUGAGUUUUCUUUAUUUUCCUUUUCAGCUCCAGGGUAGGAUUGUGGUAGUUAACGUUGGAGCUGACAAGGUGCUGAUUUCCCCUUUGAAAGCACAGGCUCCACAGGAAACCACAUGCUGUGUAGCUGCCUGACCAAAGCCCAGCCAGCAUCUUGUCAGUUCGGAAUCACUAAGUGGACAUCUUCCCUUUCUGGGCCCUGCACACUUGCAGUUCCCUUCCUCCUUUGAGAAGAAGCUAUGUUAAUGCAAGCCACUUACUGCCACCCCUCCAGGGCUUUGCAGGUGCACCUGUGUUCUCCACCCUGUGGUUAAGUCCCCUUCUCUGCUCCUUGUCCGAGAUGAGACAGUGCAGCGGUCACUCUGUAUGUUCUAGAGCACUAGUUUAGAAUACAUUCUCCCUGGUUUCCUGUGUCAGGAGCUUUCUGGACAGAGAGUGUUUUAAACCUGCUCAGGUCCUCCAGAAGUAAAUUACACGCCGGCUACUUUUGUACUCAUUUGCUUUCUUUUG
rnacentral:lncRNA from 13 species